GACUACGGCCAUGCCACCCUGAACAAGCCCGAUCCUGUCUGAUCUCGGAAGCUAAGUAGGGUCAGGCCUGGUUAGUACUUGGAUGGGAGACCACCUAGGAAGACCGGGUGCCUGUAGGCG
ensembl:rRNA 5S_rRNA 5S ribosomal RNA